GACAGAGGUGCCGAGCGUUAGGCGGAAUCACUGGGCUUAAAGCGUGUGUAGGCGGAAGCGUAAGUGCCUUGUGAAAUCCCACGGCUCAACCGUGGAACUGCUGGGCAUACUGCGUUUCUUGAGCCAAUCAGGGGUCGUCGGAACAAACGGUGGAGCGGUGAAAUGCGUAGAGAUCGGGAGGAACAUCAGUUGCGAAGGCGGCUCUCUGGACCAGCACUGACACUGAGGCACGAAAGCGUGGGGAGCAAACAGG
rnacentral:rRNA from 1 species